rnacentral:lncRNA from 1 species
CAGGCCGGGACUAAAGGGUCCCGGCCAAAGGCCCGUUUUCCACUAGUGCCAUUACCUAGGAUCGCCCAACGUAUACUGGUAGCUCUUUCACCAUGGUAAUGUCACUCGGUAGCUAAUGCACCCACCAUUCUGUCCUGUACAUUCGUAUUACUACCUUAGUUCAAUAUAUUCACUCCGGAUGCGUAUAGUCUGUUUUCCACACAUCCCACUUGUCUUAGCAAUAAUUAUUUGCACUCUUAUACUAAAAUCGAGAUAAACAUAGGGAGCAAUUCUGGCUACGACUCGGAGACAGGAUAAGUCGUUCGGAAUGGGAUGCAGUAGGAAACACAAUAGAUGCUACUUGUGGAUUGCUUGCAGCUGGAAUGGAAGACUUGGGUGGAGAGGUUCUGAUCCUAGAGUCACAAAUAGAAAUAAGGAUACAAAGUAUAAGAUUUUUUUUACCUCUGGUAUUAUGAGAAUUACGCACUAAGGAGGUGCUUGAGCAGAAAUAUUUUCAUUUUUUAAUAUUUGUAAUGUGGAGAUAUUUUCCGUAUGGUCCUGACAAUUGCACUAGAAGGAGUAUAUACCGAUUUCCUAGCCGUGAAAGCUUUCGUACCAGUGUGCAUCUAGAACACGGAUAAAAGGGGCCACAUGAUAUAUCUUAUUUCUAGUUAAGUCUCCUAUAUUUUGUGUUUGAUUUAUUCAUAAAGAAUAUUAU